rnacentral:rRNA from 1 species
UGCGAGUCGAGAGACUUCGGGUCUCGGCAAACUGCUCAGCAACACGUGGAUAAUCUGCCCUAAGGUGGGGAAUAAUUUCGGGAAACUGAGGAUAAUGCCCCAUAGACCUCAUAUGCUGGAAUGCUUUGAGGUCGAAAGCUCCGGCGCCUUAGGAUGAGUCUGCGACCUAUCAGGCAGUAGUGAGUGUAACGGACUCACUAACCGACAACGGGUACGGGCCUUGGGAGAGGUAGCCCGGAGAUGGAUUCUGAGACACGAAUCCAGGCCCUACGGGGCGCAGCAGGCGCGAAAACUUAACAAUGCGGGAAACCGCGAUUAGGGAACUCCAAGUGCCAGUACAUUGUGCUGGCUGUUCGCUUGCCUAAAAAGCUAGCGGAGUAAGGGGUGGGUAAGACUGGUGCCAGCCGCCGCGGUAAUACCAGCAGCCCGAGUGGUGAUCGCUAUUAUUGGGCCUAAAGCGUCCGUAGCCGGGCUGGUAAACCCUUGGGUAAAUCGUCUAGCUUAACUAAACGACUUCCGAGGAGACUGCCAGCCUUGGGACCGGGAGAGGUCGGAGGUGCUCCAGGGGUAGGGGUGAAAUCCUGUAAUCCUUGGGGGACCACCGGUGGCGAAGGCGUCCGACUGGAACGGGUCCGACGGUAAGGGACGAAGCCCUGGGUCGCAAACCGGAUUAGAUACCCGGGUAGUCCAGGGUGUAAACGCUGCGGGCUUGGUGUUGCGGGUCCUACGUG